rnacentral:rRNA from 1 species
ACACGUAGGGGGCGAGCGUUGUUCGGAAUUACUGGGCGUAAAGGGCAUGUAGGCGGCUCUGUAAGCCUGGCGUGAAAGUCACCGGCUCAACCGGUGGAUUGCGCUGGGAACUGCGGGGCUUGAAUCAUGGAGAGGGAGCUAGAAUUCCAGGUGUAGGGGUGAAAUCUGUAGAUAUCAGGAGGAACACCGAUGGCGAAGGCAAGCUCCUGGCCGAUGACUGACGCUGAGGUGCGAAAGUGUGGGGAUC